rnacentral:rRNA from 1 species
CCCUUAGAUGCUCUGGGCCGCACGCGCGCUACAUUGAUGCAAGCAGUAGGCAUGCCUAGCGCGAGAGCGCCCGGGAAUCUGUUGUAGGCUGCAUCGUAACGGGGAUGGCCCAGUGGAAUCCUUGGUCCUGAACGGGGAAUGCCUAGUAGGCACGGGUCAGCAACCCGUGCCGAUUACGUCCCUGCCUUUUGUACACACCGCCCGUCGCUCCUACCGAUUGAGUGGUCCGGUGAGGCUUUGGGAUCUGAGCGGAAAGAGCGUUUCGCUGUUUCUGCUCGGAAAACUCAGUCGAACCUUAUCAUUUAGAGGAAGGAGAAGUCGUAACA